AUUGAACGCUGGCGGCAGGCCUAACACAUGCAAGUCGAACGGUAACAGGAAGAAGCUUGCUUCUUUGCUGACGAGUGGCGGACGGGUGAGUAAUGUCUGGGAAACUGCCUGAUGGAGGGGGAUAACUACUGGAAACGGUAGCUAAUACCGCAUAACGUCGCAAGACCAAAGAGGGGGACCUUCGGGCCUCUUGCCAUCGGAUGUGCCCAGAUGGGAUUAGCUAGUAGGUGGGGUAACGGCUCACCAAGGCGACGAUCCCUAGCUGGUCUGAGAGGAUGACCAGCCACACUGGAACUGAGACACGGUCCAGACUCCUACGGGAGGCAGCAGUGGGGAAUAUUGCACAAUGGGCGCAAGCCUGAUGCAGCCAUGCCGCGUGUAUGAAGAAGGCCUUCGGGUUGUAAAGUACUUUCAGCGGGGAGGAAGGGAGUAAAGUUAAUACCUUUACUCAUUGACGUUACCCGCAGAAGAAGCACCGGCUAACUCCGUG
rnacentral:rRNA from 1 species